UGGGGAAUAUUGGACAAUGGGGGCAACCCUGAUCCAGCCAUGCCGCGUGUGUGAAGAAGGCCUUUUGGUUGUAAAGCACUUUAAGCAGUGAAGAAGACUCCAUGGUUAAUACCCAUGGACGAUGACAUUAGCUGCAGAAUAAGCACCGGCUAACUCUGUGCCAGCAGCCGCGGUAAUACAGAGGGUGCAAGCGUUAAUCGGAAUUAAUGGGCGUAAAGCGAGCGUAGGUGGCUUGAUAAGUCAGAUGUGAAAGCCCCGGGCUUAACCUGGGAACGGCAUCUGAUACUGUUAGGCUAGAGUAGGUGAGAGGAAGGUAGAAUUCCAGGUGUAGCGGUGAAAUGCGUAGAGAUCUGGAGGAAUACCGAUGGCGAAGGCAGCCUUCUGGCAUCAUACUGACACUGAGGUUCGAAAGCGUGGGUAGCAAACA
rnacentral:rRNA from 1 species